rnacentral:rRNA from 1 species
AUUGAACGCUGGCGGCAGGCCUAACACAUGCAAGCCGAACGGUAGCACAGAGAGCUUGCUCUCGGGUGACGAGUGGCGGACGGGUGAGUAAUGUCUGGGAAACUGCCCGAUGGAGGGGGAUAACUACUGGAAACGGUAGCUAAUACCGCAUAAUGUCGCAAGACCAAAGAGGGGGACCUUCGGGCCUCUUGCCAUCGGAUGUGCCCAGAUGGGAUUAGCUUGUUGGUGAGGUAAUGGCUCACCAAGGCGACGAUCCCUAGCUGGUCUGAGAGGAUGACCAGCCACACUGGAACUGAGACACGGUCCAGACUCCUACGGGAGGCAGCAGUGGGGAAUAUUGCACAAUGGGCGCAAGCCUGAUGCAGCCAUGCCGCGUGUGUGAAGAAGGCCUUCGGGUUGUAAAGCACUUUCAGCGGGGAGGAAGGCGAUACGGUUAAUAACCGUGUUGAUUGACGUUACCCGCAGAAGAAGCACCGGCUAACUCCGUG